rnacentral:rRNA from 1 species
UACGGGGGGGGCAAGCGUUGUUCGGAAUUACUGGGCGUAAAGGGCUCGUAGGUGGCCAACUAAGUCAGACGUGAAAUCCCUCGGCUUAACCGGGGAACUGCGUCUGAUACUGGAUGGCUUGAGUUCGGGAGAGGGAUGCGGAAUUCCAGGUGUAGCGGUGAAAUGCGUAGAUAUCUGGAGGAAUACCGGUGGCGAAGGCGGCAUCCUGGACCGAAACUGACGCUGAUGCGCGAAAGCUAGGGGAGCAAACGGG